UGAGUGUUCUCAGUCACUGCCAUCCAGCCCCUUCGGUCUACGCUAUUUUCUUCCCUGUUCUGAAAAGAAAUUGAACAGUAUUCACAACUUUCUGGCCUGAAGAUUUAGGAGCUCUCCCACAUCUGAAUCCAUAUGUCACAGUGACACUGCUUGAGCAUAAUACAGAGGAGGUCCAUUUCUGUUAAGUGCCACACUUCAGGAAGCUUAGAGUGUACCCCUAUAACUUCAGAAUGCUUUUCAAUUUUUAAAUUUCAUGUAUGUGGGUGUUUUGCCUGCACACAUACCUAGUGCCCAAGGGGCCAAAAAGGAAUUCAGAUUCCCUGGGUCUGGAGGUAGACAGUUGUGACCUGCUGGAGAUUGAACCUGGGUCUGCUAAAGAAACAGCCAGUGUUCUUAAUCACUGAGCCACCUCUAUGACUCCUAGUUGAGCAUAGUUUAUUUUGAAGCAAUUGUGUGCCAUUUGCAGACUUCAGGAGCAAUAUCUUGUUAUUUUCUUUAAAUUCCUUUUUUCUUUUCAUAUGUUUUGAAAUAUUAUUUUUCAUUUAAAAAUGCAUUUGUUUUAUUGAAAAUAAUUUCUCCUCCCGUGUCUUAUUGUCUACCCAGAACCUUGUAAUGAGGAAUAUAGCUGAUGUUCAAGAAAUGUGUGAUGAAAGAGUGAAAGAAUUCCAGACACUGAUGUUGCAGGGACCACUUGCCAGACUCUGGGCAAAGGACAAGGGAGAGCCAGCUGCCUUGCACAUCUUGUGGCACAAGGAGCACUCCAAUUCUGGAACAUGCACUGCUCAGUCACUCUAGGACAUUAAACCAGAGGCUUUGAAUUUCCAUCCCAGUUAUGACCCAGCACUUCAGCAUACUCUGAGGAACAUCGGACAAGCCAACAAACUCUCACCCCCAGGGCUGUAUUGACUCAUCCCCAGGGCUGAAGAGUUCACAUCCAAACUCAGAAAGUCUGGAUUCUGGAGUUGCAGAGAUCCCAAAAGGCUUCUGGGGGCAACUGAAAGCUAGAAUGUCACUCUGGCUUUAUCCCCUUCCUAUUCCUGAGGCUGUAUGGCCACUGGGGACACCAGUUAAAACACACAGCAAGCAGAAUCUGCCCACUGGGUUUUCAGGGAAAUAAAUCCAAAGCUUUCACUGCUUCA
rnacentral:lncRNA from 1 species